CAGCCGCCGCGGGAAUACGUAGGUGGCAAGCGUUGUCCGGAAUUAUUGGGCGUAAAGCGCGCGCAGGUGGUUUAAUAAGUCUGAUGUGAAAGCCCACGGCUCAACCGUGGAGGGUCAUUGGAAACUGUUAAACUUGAGUGCAGGAGAGAAAAGUGGAAUUCCUAGUGUAGCGGUGAAAUGCGUAGAGAUCAGGAGGAACACCAGUGGCGAAGGCGGCUUUUUGGCCUGUAACUGACACUGAGGCGCGAAAGCGUGGGGAGCAAACAGGAUUAGAUACCCCAGUAGUCCCUGUCUCUUAUAC
rnacentral:rRNA from 1 species